ACGCUAGCGGCAGGCUUAACACAUGCAAGUCGAGGGGCAGCACGAGUAGCAAUACUUGGUGGCGACCGGCGCACGGGUGAGUAACGCGUAUGCAACUUACGUACAACAGGAGGAUAAUCUGGGGAAACCUGGUCUAAUAUUCCAUAGCAUUACCAGAUCGCAUGAUCUGGUAAUUAAAGCGAUUAGUGGUUGUAGAUAGGCAUGCGUGUCAUUAGGUAGUUGGUGAGGUAACGGCUCACCAAGCCUACGAUGACUAGGGGAACUGAGAGGUUGAUCCCCCACACUGGUACUGAGACACGGACCAGACUCCUACGGGAGGCAGCAGUGAGGAAUAUUGGUCAAUGGGCGGAAGCCUGAACCAGCCAUGCCGCGUGCAGGAUGACGGUCUUAUGGAUUGUAAACUGCUUUUGUAUAGGAGCAAUAAUAGUUACGUGUAACUAGAUGAGAGUACUAUACGAAUAAGCAUCGGCUAACUCCGUGCCAGCAGCCGCGGUAAUACGGAGGAUGCAAGCGUUAUCCGGAUUCAUUGAAACUCAAAGGAAUUGACGGGGGCCCGCACAAGCGGAGGAGCAUGUGGUUUAAUUCGAUGAUACGCGAGGAACCUUACCUAGGCUUGAACGUAGCAGGGAUACAUCAGAAAUGGUGUAGUCAGCAAUGACUUGCUACGAGGUGCUGCAUGGUUGUCGUCAGCUCGUGCCGUGAGGUGUCAGGUUAAGUCCUAUAACGAGCGCAACCCUUGCACAUAGUUGCCAGCAUGUAAUGAUGGGGACUCUAUGUGGACUGCCGGCGUAAGCCGCGAGGAAGGUGGGGAUGACGUCAAAUCAGCACGGCCCUUACGUCUAGGGCGACACACGUGCUACAAUGGCCGAUACAGAGGGCAGCUACUUGGCGACAAGAUGCGAAUCUCGAAAGUCGGUCUCAGUUCGGAUUGGAGUCUGCAACUCGACUCCAUGAAGUCGGAUUCGCUAGUAAUCGCGCAUCAGCCAUGGCGCGGUGAAUACGUUCCCGGGCCUUGUACACACCGCCCGUCAAGCCAUGGGAGUACUGGGGUACCUGAAGUACGUUACCGUCAAGGAGCGUCACUAGGGUAA
rnacentral:rRNA from 1 species